CGCCGCCGGUGCCCAGUCCUUCGGCUGUGCCCUGGCUCGACUCACCGGUCUCCGAGGCGGUCUCCACCCUCGCUGGGUCGGACCAGGAGCUCCAGGGGCCUUGGCAGGUCCACAGUCACAGGGGAGGACCAGGAUCCCCAGGAGCCACGGAGGGAGACCCCAUCUGGUUGGCUGCGUAGCUGGAGCCAGUAGGAUCUGCCAGGCUGGAGCCCUGAGAUGAGGCAGCUUCCUCCCAUCACUGUCAGAGAUGGAACCUUGGGAGAAAAGACCCAGCCUCAGGACCUAGGUCUGCCUCUCAGCCAAGACAGCCUCCAUCCCGUAGAUGAGGAAACUGAGGUGCGGAGAAGAUUUGCCCAAGGUCACAUACUUACUAAGGGGCAAAGCUCUUCAGAACCCAAGUGCUAUGUUCUUGAGAGGUGUAAUCUUCUGAGAAGUGACUGCCAGCCUCACAACCAUGGCCCACUGUAAUGGAUUCUAUGACUUUGUGCAUAAAUGAACACAUUCUCAUUCUCCUGAACUGGACAUUGCCCUGCAUUUGGGCGGUCACCACAGCUGCCUCUGGCCCCUUGCUGUUGGAAGUGUGGUCUGCAGACCAGUGGUAAUAGCCUUACUUGGGAGCUUGUCAGAAGAGCUUGUUAGAAUCUUAGGCCCCACCACAGGCCUACUAAAACAGAAUCUGAAUUUUACCAAAAUGCCCAAGUUACGUGAAUAUAA